rnacentral:rRNA from 1 species
GCAAGUGUUAUCCGGAAUCACUGGGCGUAAAGCGUCUGUAGGUGGUUUAAUAAGUCAACUGUUAAAUCUUGGAGCUCAACUUCAAAAUCGCAGUCGAAACUAUUAGACUAGAGUAUAGUAGGGGUAAAGGGAAUUUCCAGUGGAGCGGUGAAAUGCGUAGAGAUUGGAAAGAACACCGAUGGCGAAGGCACUUUACUGGGCUAUUACUGACACUCAGAGACGAAAGCUAGGGUAGCAAAUGGGAUUAGAUACCCCAGUAGUCCUAGCCGUAAACAAUGGAUACUAGAUGUUGGGCAGAUCGACCUGUUCAGUAUUAAAGCUAACGCGUUAAGUAUCCCGCCUGGGAAGUAUGCGCGCAAGCGUGAAACUCAAAGGAAUUGACGGGGGCCCGCACAAGCGGUGGAGCAUGUGGUUUAAUUCGAUGCAACGCGAAGAACCUUACCAGGGUUUGACAUGAUACGAAUUUUCUUGAAAGAGAAAAGUGCCGUUUGGAACGUAUACACAGGUGGUGCAUGGCUGUCGUUAGCUCGUGUCGUGAGAUGUUGGGUUAAGUCCCGCAACGAGCGCAACCCUUAUUUUUAGUUGCCUUUUAUGGAACUCUAGAAAGACUGCUGGUUAUAAACCGGAGGAAGGCGGGGAUGACGUCAAGUCAGCAUGCCCCUUACACCCUGGGCUACACACGUGCUACAUUGGGCGAGACAAUGAGACGCAA